rnacentral:rRNA from 1 species
CGUGUAGGCGGUACCAUAAGUCAGAUGUGAAAGCCCUAGGCUUAACCUAGGAGGUGCAUUUGAUACUGUGGGACUAGAGAUCGAGAGAGGAAAGUGGAAUUACGAGUGUAGAGGUGAAAUUCGUAGAUAUUCGUAAGAACACCAGUGGCGAAGGCGACUUUCUGGCUCGAUACUGACGCUAAGGCGCGAAAGCGUGGGGAGCAAACAGGAUUAGAUACCCUGGUAGUCCACGCUGUAAACGAUGAGUGCUAGAUGUUGGUGAAGGAAUUCAUCAGUGUCGCAGCUAACGCAUUAAGCACUCCGCCUGGGGAGUACGGUCGCAAGAUUAAA